rnacentral:rRNA from 1 species
UACGUAGGUGGCAAGCGUUGUCCGGAAUUAUUGGGCGUAAAGCGCGCGCAGGUGGUUUCUUAAGUCUGAUGUGAAAGCCCCCGGCUCAACCGUGGAGGGUCAUUGGAAACUGGGGAACUUGAGUGCAGAAGAGGAAAGUGGAAUUCCAAGUGUAGCGGUGAAAUGCGUAGAGAUUUGGAGGAACACCAGUGGCGAAGGCGACUUUCUGGUCUGUAACUGACACUGAGGCGCGAAAGCGUGGGGAGCAAACAGG